rnacentral:rRNA from 1 species
AAAAAAGCCCUAUACCCGUUAAGGCAUGAUGGCCAGUACCCGAAACCGACACAGGUGGGGUGGUAGAGAAUACCGAGGGGCGCGUGAUAACUCUCUCUAAGGAACUCGGCAAAAUGGCCCCGUAACUUCGGGAGAAGGGGUGCCACCGCAAGGUGGUCGCAGUGAAGAGGCCCAGGCGACUGUUUACCAAAAACACAGGUCUCCGCUAAGUCGCAAGACGAUGUAUGGGGGCUGACGCCUGCCCAGUGCCGGAAGGUUAAGGAAGCUGGUCAGCGUAAGCGAAGCUGGCGACUGAAGCCCCGGUGAACGGCGGCCGUAACUAUAACGGUCCUAAGGUAGCGAAAUUCCUUGUCGGGUAAGUUCCGACCCGCACGAAAGGCGUAACGAUCUGGGCGCUGUCUCGGAGAGAGGCUCGGCGAAAUAGAAUUGUCUGUGAAGAUGCGGACUACGUGCACCCGGACAGAAAGACCCUAUGAAGCUUUACUGUAGCUUGGUAUUGUGCCCGGGCUCUGAAUGCGCAGGAUAGGUGGGAGGCUUUGAUCCAUUGCUUGUGGGUGAUGGUGAGCCAACGGUGAGAUACCACUCUUUCAGAGCUAGGGUUCUAACGGUCACCCGUCAUCCGGGGACCGGACAGUAUCAGGUGGGCAGUUUGACUGGGGCGGUCGCCUCCUAAAAGGUAACGGAGGCGCGCAAAGGUUCCCUCAGGCUGGUUGGAAAUCAGCCGACGAGUGUAAAGGCAGAAGGGAGCUUGACUGUGAGACCUACAAGUCGAACAGGGACGAAAGUCGGCCUUAGUGAUCCGACGGUUCUGAGUGGAAGGGCCGUCGCUCAACGGAUAAAAGUUACUCUAGGAUAACAGGCUGAUCUCCCCCAAGAGUUCACAUCGACGGGGAGGUUUGGCACCUCGAUGUCGGCUCAUCGCAACCUGGGGCUGAAGUCGGUCCCAAGGGUUGGGCUGUUCGCCCAUUAAAGCGGUACGCGAGCUGGGUUCGGAACGUCGUGAGACAGUUCGGUCCAUAUCCGGUGCAUGCGCAGGAAUAUUGAGAGGAUUUCUCCCUAGUACGAGAGGACCGGGAGGAACGCACCUCUGGUGUGCCAGUUAUCGUGCCAACGGUAAACGCUGGGUAGCCAUGUGCGGAGAGGAUAACCGCUGAAAGCAUCUAAGUGGGAAGCCCACCUCAAGAUGAGUAUUCCCAUGGCGUUAGCCAGUAAGGUCACGGGAAGAACACCCGUUGAUAGGCUCUACGUGGAAGCCGGGUAACCGGUGAAGCGGAGGAGUACUAAUAGACCGAGGGCUUGAC